rnacentral:rRNA from 1 species
UAAGACGUAGGGUGCAAGCGUUGUCCGGAUUUACUGGGCGUAAAGAGCGCGUAGGCGGCUCGUUAAGUGUGAAGUGAAAUCUCCAGGGCUCAACCCGGAAACCGCUUCGCAUACUGGCGAGCUGGAGGAAUGCAGAGGUUAGUGGAAUUCCUGGUGUAGCGGUGAAAUGCGUAGAUAUCAGGAGGAACACCCAUGGCGAAGGCAGCUAACUGGGCAUUAUCUGACGCUGAGGCGCGAAAGCGUGGGUAGCAAACAGGAUUAGAUACCCUGGUAGUCCACGCCCUAAACGAUGGAUACUAGGCGUAAGAGGUAUCGACCCCUCUUGUGCCGCAGCAAACGCACUAAGUAUCCCGCCUGGGGAGUACGGCCGCAAGGUUG